rnacentral:misc_RNA from 1 species
GAUGAAGAACGUAGUGAAAUGCGAUAAGUAAUGUGAAUUGCAGAAUUCAGUGAAUCAUCGAAUCUUUGAACGCACAUUGCGCCCCCUGGUAUUCCGGGGGGCAUGCCUGUUCGAGCGUCAUUUCACCACUCAAGCCUCGCUUGGUAUUGGGCGACGCGGUCCGCCGCGCGCCUCAAAUCGACCGGCUGGGUCUUUCGUCCCCUCAGCGUUGUGGAAACUAUUCGCUAAAGGGUGCCGCGGGAGGCCACGCCGUAAAACAACCCCAUUUCUAAGGUUGACCUCGGAUCAGGUAGGGAUACCCGCUGAACUUAAGCAUAUCAAUAAGCGGAGGA